CUCUGGAUCCACCUCUGCCUCAGUGCAGCUGUGGAAUAUUCCAGAAGUAAAACACAGCUUUUCCUGCAUUCCCUGAAAUAAGAGAGUAUUCCAGAAGAACAGCUCUGUGGCAUCCAAGCUCCACUCCAGAUGGAGGAAAGAAUGGAGAAGAUGCAGGAAAAAUUCAGCUGCUGUUGGGCCUGGGCUCUCUGUGACUGAAGCAAUUGUAAUCUCCCAGUGGACUGCCAAGGUUUUAGUCCAGGAUGUGGCUUGGGCAAGUGCUAAACUCCAUGUCUUGUGCCUGGGGAAGUGCAGAAGUGGGUUCCUGGGCUGUGCUCCAACCACUUGUGCCAUGCUCUGAGCCCAGACCACCAGGAGCACAAGUGCAGGUUGGCUGUAUCUGCUUGUGGAAGGAGAGUCCCUGCCCAGCACUGCAGUCACUGCCUGCACCACGGAGUUUUGCCUCUUUCCUGUGGACAAAUCCGAGUCUGGUGCUCCCCAGCAUGAGAAGGAGUUGAUUUCUAAGGAUUUACCUGGCCCCACACAGCCCUUCCCUGCGCUGAUGAGGGGACUCAUUGACACUGCAGCAUCAACCAGGGCUUUCCACAGCUUCAAUAAAGGUGUGGAGUUCAAUCCCUUGAGUCA
rnacentral:lncRNA from 1 species